AUGAUCUGUGUUUCUUUCAGGUGUCCACCUGCUGUUUGCAGCGGGAUGAUUUGUAUUGCUUCACUAACUGCUGAUGUUGGAGAGUGGUACAAACAACAAAAUAUGGGUCAGUACUUGAUGGUGGUUCUAAGAAAGAACAUGAGAGUAGGAAAGAAAGGAAUACUGAAAGGGAGAUCCAGAAGCUUACAGGAUAUCUCAUUUGGUGAGCAAGAGAAGCCAAUUUUGGGAGCAUGUUCACUGUGA
rnacentral:lncRNA from 1 species